rnacentral:rRNA from 1 species
CCGGGGCGCGCCCCGGGCGGGGCGGGGGCACGGGGGGAACGCGAAGAACCUUACCUGGCCUUGACAUCCACAGAACUUUGCAGAGAUGGUUUGGUGCCUUCGGGAACUGUGAGACAGGUGCUGCAUGGCUGUCGUCAGCUCGUGUUGUGAAAUGUUGGGUUAAGUCCCGCAACGAGCGCAACCCUUAUCCUUUGUUGCCAGCGAUUCGGUCGGGAACUCAAAGGAGACUGCCGGUGAUAAACCGGAGGAAGGUGGGGAUGACGUCAAGUCAUCAUGGCCCUUACGGCCAGGGCUACACACGUGCUACAAUGGCGCAUACAAAGAGAAGCGACCUCGCGAGAGCAAGCGGACCUCAUAAAGUGCGUCGUAGUCCGGAUUGGAGUCUGCAACUCGACUCCAUGAAGUCGGAAUCGCUAGUAAUCGUGGAUCAGAAUGCUACGGUGAAUACGUUCCCGGGUCUUGUACACACCGA